rnacentral:sRNA from 1 species
GAUACCAGGGUCAAAAGGUUAUGCUUUUUCAUGCAAGCAUGAAAAAGCAUAACUUUGGGACCCGUAAAACAUGAGAAAGUAACCCGAACAGGGCGAAUUUCGAAUGUUUUUAGGAUUGCGGGAGCAUGAAAUGCGGAGCAAUCCGU